GAAAUUACUCUUAUCUACCUCUCUGACCUCCUCCAUCCUUACACCCCACCCCGAAACCUACGGUCCUCAGACCCUGGCCUGCUCUCCAUUCCCCACACCAGACUCUGUACCUUCGGAGACAGAGCCUUUAUUGUUGCAGCCCCAUCCCUCUGGA